AGUACAUUCAUUAUAGAGCACUGUAGCUCCUCCCAUAAUUAGCUACGCCCACACAUACCCUUAACCAAUCAAUGAACAGAGUCUAAACUCGUCCAUCAGGUCUGACCACAUGGCUCAUCUGAAACAAAGGAGAAGGGCGCGUAAUUCCAGUUCCUGCAUUCCUGCACAUGCUCAGUACAUUGAUGACAGUAUCUUAGCUACGUGUAACUAACUAACUGAUACUACAAACACAUGUACCUACAUAUGCCACAUGGCAAUCUUGGCCUACUAAACAUUUAUUUUACUGGAAUUUCCAUCACACUACCUUUCAGGCAAAAUUUGUUAGAAAUAGAUAGGUUUUAGGUGAAUGGCUUUGUUUCUAUUCUUCUAUACAGAGACAGUUACAGAGAGAAGCCACAGAAACCAGUUCUUAAGAUCCUAUACAUUUCUAACGAAAAUAUUUCAAAUAACUCCUUAUCUUCACAAAGCAG